AUUGAACGCUGGCGGCAUGCCUUACACAUGCAAGUCGAACGCGAAAGCGGGGCAAACCCGCAAGUAGAGUGGCGAACGGGUGAGUAAUACAUCGGAACAUAUCCAGUAGCGGGGAUAACCUGUCGAAAGAUAGGCUAAUACCGCAUACGAUCUACGGAUGAAAGCAGGGGACCGCAAGGCCUUGCACUAUUGGAGUGGCCGAUGUCAGAUUAGCUAGUUGGUGGGGUAAAAGCCUACCAAGGCGACGAUCUGUAGCUGGUCUGAGAGGACGAUCAGCCACACUGGAACUGAGACACGGUCCAGACUCCUACGGGAGGCAGCAGUGGGGAAUUUUGGACAAUGGGCGCAAGCCUGAUCCAGCCAUGCCGCGUGAGUGAAGAAGGCCUUCGGGUUGUAAGCUCUUUCGGUGAAGACGAAACGGUUAGCGCUAAUAACGCUGACUAAUGACGGUACUCACAGAAGAAGCACCGGCUAACUACGUG
rnacentral:rRNA from 1 species